rnacentral:rRNA from 1 species
AGUCGAACGGUAACAGGACUUCGGUCGCUGACGAGUGGCGCACGGGUGAGUAACGCGUGGGUUACCUGCCCAUAAGUGGGGAACAACUUGGAGAAAUCCAAGCUAAUACCGCAUAAUACCUUCGGGUUAAAGAGGGGGAUCUUCGGACCUCUCGCUUAUGGAUGGUCCCGCGUCUGAUUAGCUAGUUGGUAGGGUAAUGGCCUACCAAGGCAAUGAUCAGUAGCUGGUCUGAGAGGAUGAUCAGUCACACUGGAACUGAGACACGGUCCAGACUCCUACGGGAGGCAGCAGUGGGGAAUUUUGCACAAUGGGCGAAAGCCUGAUGCAGCGACGCCGCGUGCGGGAAGAAGGCCUUCGGGUUGUAAACCGCUUUCAACAGGGAAGAAGGAAUGAGAGCUAAUACCUCUCUGCCUUGACGGUACCUGUAGAAGAAGCACCGGCUAAUUUCGUGCCAGCAGCCGCGGUAAUACGAAAGGUGCAAGCGUUGUUCGGAUUUACUGGGCGUAAAGAGAUCGUAGGUGGCUUGUUAAGUCGGAUGUGAAAUCCCGGGGCUCAACCCCGGAACUGCAUCCGAUACUGGCAGGCUUGAGUUUGGGAGGGGUAAGCGGAAUUCCGUGUGUAGCAGUGAAAUGCGUAGAUAUACGGAGGAACACCUGAGGCGAAGGCGGCUUACUGGACCAAUACUGACACUGAGGAUCGAAAGCGUGGGUAGCAAACAGGAUUAGAUACCCUGGUAGUCCACGCCCUAACGAUGUCAACUAGCCGUUGCGGGUAUCGACCCCUGCAGUGGCGCAGCUAACGCGAUAAGUUGACCGCCUGGGG